UUAACUUUUUAUAUGGAGUUGAAACGUUUGCAUACGUUUGCCGCUAGGAGCGCUGUUCCAACUACAUAUAAAUUUGAGUUA
rnacentral:pre_miRNA from 1 species